rnacentral:rRNA from 1 species
GACGAACGCUGGCGGCGUGCUUAACACAUGCAAGUCGAACGGAAAGGCCCUGCUUUUGUGGGGUGCUCGAGUGGCGAACGGGUGAGUAACACGUGAGUAAACUGCACUUGACUUUGGGAUAACUUCAGGAAACUGGGGCUAAUAUCGGAUAGGAGCUACUGCUGCAUGGUGGGGGUUGGAAAGUUUCGGCGGUUGUGGCUGGACUGGAGGCUUAUCAGCUUGUUGGUGGGGUAGUGGCUUACCAAGGCUUUGACGGGUAGCCGGCCUGAGAGGGUGACCGGCCACAUUGGGACUGAGAGACGGCCCAGACUCCUACGGGAGGCAGCAGGGGGGAAUAUUGCAGAAUGAGCGGAAGCCUGAUGCAGCAGCGCCGCGUGCGGGAUGACGGCCUUCGGGGUGUAAACCGCUUUCGCCUGUGACGAAGCGUGAGUGACGGUAAUGGGUAAAGAAGCACCGGCUAACUACGUG